ensembl:rRNA 5S_rRNA 5S ribosomal RNA
GCUUACGGCCAUACCACCCUGAACACGCCCGAUCUCGUCUGAUCUCGGAAGCUAAGCAGGGUCGGGCCUGGUCAGUACUUGGAUGGGAGACCGCCUGGGAAUACCAGUGCUGUAAGCU